rnacentral:rRNA from 1 species
CGGGAAACUGGGGAUAAUACCGGAUAUAUGGAGAUGCCUGGAAUGGUACUCCACUUAAAGCUCCGGCGCCUAAGGAUGGAUCUGCGGCAGAUUAGGUCGUUGGUGGGGUAAUGGCCCACCAAGCCUAUAAUCUGUUCGGGUUGUGAGAGCAAGAGCCCGGAGAUGGAACCUGAGACAAGGUUCCAGGCCCUACGGGGCGGCGCAGGGGCGAAACCUCCGCAAAUCGAGGAAAUGGCGACGGGGGGACCCCAAGUGCCACUCUUAACGGGGUGGCUUUUCUUAAGUGUAAAAAGCUUUUGGAAUAAGGGCUGGGCAAGACCGGUGCCAGCCGCCGCGGUAAUA